GGGCAUAGCUCAGUGGCAGAGCACCUGCUUUGCAUGCAGAAGGUGCUUGUUUCAAUCCCCAGCAACUUCA